rnacentral:rRNA from 1 species
UACGGAGGGGGCCAGCGUUGUUCGGAAUCAUUGGGCGUAAAGGGCGCGUAGGCGGCUUUGUAAGUCCGUUGUGAAAUCCCUCGGCUCAACCGAGGAACUGCGACGGAUACUGCUUGGCUUGAGUCCCGGAGAGGGUAGCGGAAUUCCCAGUGUAGCGGUGAAAUGCGUAGAUAUUGGGAGGAACAUCGGUGGCGAAGGCGGCUACCUGGACGGGUACUGACGCUGAGGCGCGAAAGCUAGGGGAGCAAAC